rnacentral:rRNA from 1 species
CCUUAGAGUUUGAUCCUGGCUCAGGACGAACGCUGGCGGCGCGCCUAACACAUGCAAGUCGAACGGAGCUUAGAGAGCUUGCUUUUUAAGCUUAGUGGCGAACGGGUGAGUAACGCGUGAGUAACCUGCCCUAGAGUGGGGGACAACAGUUGGAAACGACUGCUAAUACCGCAUAAGCCCACGGUACCGCAUGGCACUGAGGGAAAAGGAUUUAUUCGCUUUAGGAUGGACUCGCGUCCAAUUAGCUAGUUGGUGAGGUAACGGCCCACCAAGGCGACGAUUGGUAGCCGGACUGAGAGGUUGAACGGCCACAUUGGGACUGAGACACGGCCCAGACUCCUACGGGAGGCAGCAGUGGGGGAUAUUGCACAAUGGGGGAAACCCUGAUGCAGCGACGCCGCGUGGAGGAAGAAGGUUUUCGGAUUGUAAACUCCUGUCGUUAGGGACGAUAAUGACGGUACCUAACAAGAAAGCACCGGCUAACUACGUGCCAGCAGCCGCGGUAAAACGUAGGGUGCAAGCGUUGUCCGGAAUUACUGGGUGUAAAGGGAGCGCAGGCGGGAAGACAAGUUGGAAGUGAAAACCAUGGGCUCAACCCAUGAAUUGCUUUCAAAACUGUUUUUCUUGAGUAGUGCAGAGGUAGGCGGAAUUCCCGGUGUAGCGGUGGAAUGCGUAGAUAUCGGGAGGAACACCAGUGGCGAAGGCGGCCUACUGGGCACCAACUGACGCUGAGGCUCGAAAGUGUGGGUAGCAAACAGGAUUAGAUACCCUGGUAGUCCACACCGUAAACGAUGAUUACUAGGUGUUGGAGGAUUGACCCCUUCAGUGCCGCAGUUAACACAAUAAGUAAUCCACCUGGGGAGUACGACCGCAAGGUUGAAACUCAAAGGAAUUGACGG